GAUGAAGAACGUAGCGAAAUGCGAUAAGUAAUGUGAAUUGCAGAAUUCAGUGAAUCAGCGAAUCUUUGAACGCACAUUGCGCCCGCCAGUAUUCUGGCGGGCAUGCCUGUUCGAGCGUCAUUUCAACCAUCAAGCCCCCGGCUUGUGUUGGGGACCUGCGGCUGCCGCAGGCCCUGAAAAGCAGUGGCGGGCUCGCUGUCACACCGAGCGUAGUAGCAUACAUCUCGCUCUGGGCGUGCUGCGGGUUCCGGCCGUUAAACCACCUUCAUAACCCAAGGUUGACCUCGGAUCAGGUAGGAAGACCCGCUGAACUUAAGCAUAUCAAUAAGCGGAGGA
rnacentral:misc_RNA from 1 species